ensembl:rRNA 5S_rRNA 5S ribosomal RNA
GUCUACGGCCAUACCACCCUGAACGCACCCGAUCUCGUCUGAUCUCGGAAGCAAAGCAGGGUCGGGCCUGGUUUGUACUUGGAUGGGAGACCGCCUGAGAAUACCGGGUGCCAUAGGCU